AGGAGUGGGCGCAUGGUCGCUGUUUCCUUCUUGGAAAUAGAGGAAAGUCCGAACUCCAUAGAGCAAGGUGGUUCGUAACGCGAACUGGGGGCAACCCUAAGGAAAGUGCCACAGAAAAUAUACCGCCUCGCUUUAAGCGAGGUAAGGGUGAAAUGGCGAGGUAAGAGCUCACCGCUUUUAUGGCGACAUAAAAGGCAUGGCAAACCCCUCCUGGAGCAAGAUCAAAUAGGGAAACGCUUAAGAGCUGCUCGCUCAAUGUUUCCGGGUAGAUUGCACGAGGCGCCAGGCGACUGUCGUCCUAGAUAAAUGACCAUGGCCUCAAUUUGAGGUACAGAAUUCGGCUUAUAGCCCACUCCUUUUU
rnacentral:RNase_P_RNA from 1 species